GAUGAACGCUGGCGGCGUGCCUAAUACAUGCAAGUCGAGCGAAUGGAAGGGAGCUUGCUCCCUGAAGUUAGCGGCGGACGGGUGAGUAACACGUGGGCAACCUACCUACAAGAUUGGGAUAACUUCGGGAAACCGGAGCUAAUACCGGGUAAUACAUUGGAUCGCAUGGUUCGAUGUUGAAAGAUGGCUUCGGCUAUCACUUGUAGAUGGGCCCGCGGCGCAUUAGCUAGUUGGUGAGGUAACGGCUCACCAAGGCAACGAUGCGUAGCCGACCUGAGAGGGUAAUCGGCCACACUGGGACUGAGACACGGCCCAGACUCCUACGGGAGGCAGCAGUAGGGAAUCUUCCGCAAUGGACGAAAGUCUGACGGAGCAACGCCGCGUGAGCGAUGAAGGCCUUCGGGUCGUAAAGCUUUGUUGUCAGGGAAGGACAAGUACCGGAGUAACUGCCGGUACCUUGACGGUACCUGACCAGAAAGCCACGGCUAACUACGUGCCAGCAGCCGCCGUAA
rnacentral:rRNA from 1 species